rnacentral:sRNA from 1 species
ACUCACAGGAGACUACGCCUUGAGAAA